rnacentral:piRNA from 1 species
UUUGGUGUUUGAAUUGAGUUU